rnacentral:tRNA from 1 species
GGAAGAUUACUCAAGUGGUAAAGAGAGCUGUCUUGAAAACAGUUAGGCGCUUAUGCGUGCGUGGGUUCGAAUCCUACAUCUUCCG